ACCCUAUGAAUAAACAGCAGAAUAUACACUAAAAUUACAGUGAUUUAGAGAUUAGGAUGGCCCCUGGGUAAGGAUGACACACAAAUUCAUGAAGUGUUUCAUAUUUUG
rnacentral:snRNA from 1 species